rnacentral:lncRNA from 1 species
UAUGGUUUUCUCAGCUGGGUGCUCAUCCAAAUAUAUCUCCGUAUUGUACAGAACAAUGUUAAAUAACCUAUUAAUAUCAUCAUUAUAAUUAAUAUGAACGUAGCGAGCUGAUGAAUGUGUAUCAAAGACUUACACACAAAGUCACUGAGAGACUUAAAAAUAUAUAUAUAAUUAAUGAAUAGUGUAUCAAAAGUGAUAUGUUUGACAACAAACUAAAUAUAAAACAAUUUGGGAAAAAAAUUAAGUAAUUUAAUUUAGCACUUAUAUCGUGAUACACGGUUUGCAAUGAAUUUGUUGCAAUGUACUCAGUCAAUAAUGAUGAAAAUAUUCUCUCUAUUGACUGUUGGUCCUGAAAUACAAUUUUAUUUUAAAAAGAUAGUCAUUGGGGCCCAGUAAACACCUGACGUCGUACCGACGUUGGUUAGACGUUGGAUUUUGGUCGCGACGUCGGGGACUUGGAUCCAACGUUUAACCAACGUCAUAUCCACGACGUCUAAUAGACGUCAGACUUAGACGUCUAGAAGACGUUGGAAUUAGGUUGGAUAGAAAGUCUGAUAAAUGUUUUUAGUUAUAAAAAUAACUGGUAUGAUUGUGCUAGUAUAGUUUAAAGAUAUUUACUUGUUUUCAUAAAGGCCUGGACAUGCACUUAUUAAUAAUAGUUCAUUCUCACAACAAACAUUAUAUUAAUUUAAUUAAUAUAAAUGUUACAAUAUCGCAUGAGAUUGUCUGCUUUCGGAGUCGGAUUCUUUUCACGAACUUUAAACUGUUCAAGAUAAAUAUGCAUUCUAUACACAUGUAUAAAUUAUUCUAAAUUCACAAAGAUCUUCUCUUCUACACAUGCUGUCUACCAGUCACACAUUCGCGAGAUAAGCCUGCAUCGGUUUACACAGUCUUCCUGUAAUUUGAUAUUUAUUGGGAUAUGAUAGAGCAAGUUUACAAAUACUUUACACAAAGAGAAGGAUCCGCAACGUGGAAAUGUUGGCGGAGUUGAAGAAUCAUACAAAAAUGACGAAACUUGAAAGUUUCAAUAAUAUUUACUGCAUUACUUUUUGGACGUACUGUAUUAGACUUACGUCGCCAUAAUAUGAAAUAAAGAUGAUAAAAUA